GUGCUCGCUUCGGCAGCACAUAUACUAAAAUUGGAACGAUACAGAGAAGAUUAGCAUGGCCCCUGCGCAAGGGUAUAUUUCAGUCAAAAAUAUAUAAAAACACAAAU
ensembl:snRNA U6 U6 spliceosomal RNA